UGGGGAAUAUUGCACAAUGGGGGAAACCCUGAUGCAGCGACGCCGCGUGAACGAAGAAGGUAUUCGUAUCGUAAAGUUCUGUCCUAUGGGAAGAUAAUGACAGGACCAUAGAAGAAAGCUCCGGCUAAAUACGUGCCAGCAGCCGCGGUAAUACGUAUGGAGCGAGCGUUGUCCGGAAUUAUUGGGCGUAAAGGGUACGCAGGCGGUUUAAUAAGUCGAAUGUUAAAGAUCGGGGCUCAACCCCGCAAAGCAUUGGAAACUGAUAAACUUGAGUAGUGGAGAGGAAAGUGGAAUUCCUAGUGUAGUGGUGAAAUACGUAGAUAUUAGGAGGAAUACCAGUAGCGAAGGCGACUUUCUGGACACAAACUGACGCUGAGGUACGAAAGCGUGGGGAGCAAACAGG
rnacentral:rRNA from 1 species